rnacentral:rRNA from 1 species
UACGAAGGGGGCUAGCGUUGCUCGGAAUCACUUGGGACGGUAAAGCGCACGUCAGGCGGACUCUUAAGUCGGUGGUGAAAUCCUGGAGCUCAACUCCAGAACUGCCUUCGAUACUGAGAGUCUCGAGUCCGAGAGAGGUGAGUGGAACUGCGAAGUGUAGAGGUGAAAUUCGUAGAUAUUGCAAGAACACCAGUGGCGAAGGCGGCUCACUGGCUCGGUACUGACGCUGAGGUGGCGAAAACGUGGGGAGCAAACAGG